ACUUAGCACUUCAGCACCUGCUCCGCUCUCUUUCUCAGUGGGACUCUGGAACUGCCAGUCAGCUGUAAACAAAGCUGACUUCAUUCCAGCCUUCGCCACACAGUCCACCCUCAGCAUCCUGGCACUAACAGAAACAUGGAUACCUCCAGAGGAUACAGCAACACCUGCUGUUCUCUCCAGCAACAACAACUCCUCUCACAUCCCUCGAUCCACAGGUUUGACCGGUUUCAUUUCACUUGGAAAGACUUAGCACCACAGCAACUCGCAGAUUGGGCAACCAGCUGGACCUCAUUUUUACAGGUUCUUGGACUAUUUGAAGACGAGGCUGGAUCUGGAGCAGACAAACCCACAGCUCCGUAACAAAUGACAGACUUACAAGGAGAUGCUGGAAACCCAGCGCAAGCCUGGUUCAAAGUCCAAUUCACAGGCGGUGUGCAAAAGAAAGUACGAUCGAUUUGUUGAGGGCUCACCUAAACCUAAACAUCUUCGUGCAGUUCAUCUCAAGUGCCGAGGUGGACAAUAUUGACAAGACGACGUCACUAUUGCGAAGAGAUCGUGGUCUUCUGUUAUUUUCAGUGCCCAGGAGCUGUGGAAGGCUUGACUGUCUCAGAGAUGGUGAACAGGAAGGCAUCUAAUGGCAGGCUCGUGGCUGGCAUCAGCAAAUGCAAAACGGCGACCAUGCAGAUCGUUGCAUUUGCCUUGACGCAGGAGGAGGAAGCUUGAUUUCGGGUGUACUAUGAGAGAAUUCGGCCUGGAUACAACAGUGGACAGCACGUACUACUCCACCCAGACCCUGGCUCUCUGACGUCCUUCGUGAACAUUGGACUGACCUCAGGGCAGCUGAGAGGAGAUGGCGUAAAUCUAAAGAUCCAGCAUAUCUAGAACAAGCUGCUGGAUGACAAUCAGUCAGGCUUCAGAAGUGGACACUCCACCGAGACUGCCCUGCUGUCGCUGAGACCGGCGAAAGCGGAAUCCAGAUCAUCCGUCCUGAUUCUGCUGGACCUUUCUGCAGCCUUCAUCAUACCACGUUGGUGGAAUGACCUUCCCAACUCCAUACAUGAAGCUGACUCCCUUUCUGUCUUCAAAAAACGGCUAAGAUCACAUCUUUUCCAUGAACACUUAACCAGUCACAAAAAAAGAAACAUUUUUUGUAGAACUUUAAUCACUUUACGUUACUAUUCUGAUGAUAGUGAAACUUUGUAAUAUGGCACUUUUUGUACCACUGGCUCCUUAAGAUGAUUCGCUUAUGUUUGCCUCUUUUGUAAGUCGCUUUGGAUAAAAGCGUCUGCCAAGUAUUUCAGCAGCCCUUGUCUUGCUCUCGGUUGGGCAUGAGUGGCUGUGUGGAAAAUCAUCAGUUUGAUCAUAGCGUACCAGAUUAAAAUCAGUCUGGAAUGUUGACAGCAUAAAAAAUCUAGGUAUGAAAUUAUAGAUAUAAUAAUACAAUUAACAUAAAAAAUAUAGGUAUGAAAUUAUAGAUAUAAUAAUACAAUUAACAUAAAAAAUAUAGAAAAAAUAUAGAUAGAAAAAAUAGAUAUUAAUAUAAAAAAAUACAGAUAUAAUAAUAAAAAAAUAUUAAAAUAAUUAAAACUCCUUCAUUCAAAUCAGUAGACCUUUGAGCCUCUCUAAAGUUUGGGCCCAGAGAUCCCUUUUUGAUCUUUUGGUGUGCUCAUAUUCCGUCACUGUUGUUAAAAAAGGAGGAGUCUCUCCUCCAGAAAAAUGUGGUCUGUAGCUUUUAGGAGGGGGGUUUCCGUCUGCCAUGCAUUUUAGUGUCACAUUGUCCCCUUCCUUAAAAGGACCAUGGGACAUUACCUGGAGACUGACCGCUCUCUCGGUUGGGCAUGAGUGGCUGUUUGGAAAAUCAUCAGUUUGAUCAUAGUGUACCAGAUUAAAAUCAGUCUGGUAUGUGUACAGCAUAAAAAAUCUAGGUAUGAAAUUAUAGAUAUAAUAAUACAAUUAAUAUAAAAAAUAUAGAUAAUAAAAUAAAUAGAAAAAAUGUUAUAGAAAAAAUACAGAUAUAAUAGAAUAAAUAUAAAAAAUAUAGAUAUAAUAAAAAAUAAAAAAAUUAAAAUGAUUCAGAUCAGUAGAUUUGACUGUUGCGAAUGUGGGGUUUCUUAUUGCAACAGCCCUUGUCACUCAUAAUAAUAAUUAUAAUAAUUUUAAUAAUAAUUUUCUUUAUUUAUCACACAUUAUACAUUUGCACAUAUACAGUGAAAUUCUUCUUUUUUCACAUAUCCCAGCUAGGCUGGGGUCAGAGUGCAGGGUCAGCCAUGAUAUGGUGCCCUUGGAGCAGAUAGGGUCAAGGGCCUUGCUCAAGGGCCCAACAGUGGCAUCUUGGUGGUGCUGGGACUUGAACCCCUGACCUUCUGAUCAGUAACCCAGAGCCUUAACUGCUGAGCCACCACUGCCCCCUCAUUUUCUGCUGCCAGCACAAAAUAGAACAGCAGUCCUAUGCUAUUAUUUCUAGCAUCUAUCUUGCCCCAGGAUUCGUGAGGUUCCACUCCCAGACCUCAUCAAAUUAUUGGCUUUCUAUUUUGUCUGCCAUGUCCUGUCUCUCUCUUUUGAGAGAAUCUAAUUUGCCGACCUCCUCUCCCCAACUGAUAAUCUUGCUGCUCUUGUAUGACUGUUGCUGCGAUGUGUUUGAAGUCUCUCACACACGGCCAAAACAGCACAUCCUCCACAAAGCCAUCGUGCCAGCAGUAGGGGAACUCGCUGUCAUCUCCAUACUGAUCAAGUCCACCCAGGAAAACCAUCAUUUUGAUCAUAGUGUACCAGAGUUAAAAUCAGUCAGGAUGAAGACGCACAUUUUUCAGUCUGAUGGAAAACGUGUCCAUCUCGUCCUGUUUCCUUGUUUUUUAAUUUAUUUUUGCAGUUUUUAUAGUUUACAAUGUUUGUGUUAAAGUCAUGUUCUUUGUUUUUAAUUUUGUUUUCCAGUUGUUUUUUUUUUUUUUUUUUAAAUCGCAAAGAGAUUUAAAUCGCCUCGAAAGAGACCUGUAUUGUUAUUUUUUGUCACUUCCUGAGUCGGGAGUAUGUUGCCAAGUCACCCGCUGGUGAAGAGAGCAUGAAGACAGCACGUGUCUGUCAGCACGUGUCUGUCUUCAUGCUCUCCACAUAUCAGACUGAUUUUAUUCUGAUCCACUAUGUGGAAUGCCCACCAAUCUUGAUCGAUGUUAGGG